rnacentral:rRNA from 1 species
AUGGCUCAGGAUGAACGCUAGCGACAGGCUUAACACAUGCAAGGUCGAGGGGCAGCAUAGAAGUAGCAAUACUUGGUGGCGACCGGCGCACGGGUGAGUAACGCGUAUGCAACCUACCUAUCAGGAGGGGGAUAACCCGGCGAAAGUCGGACUAAUACCGCAUAAAACAGGGGCACCGCAUGGUGAUAUUUGUUAAAGAUUAAUUGCUGAUAGAUGGGCAUGCGUUCCAUUAGGUAGUUGGUGAGGUAAUGGCUCACCAAGCCGACGAUGGAUAGGGGAACUGAGAGGUUGGUCCCCCACACUGGUACUGAGACACGGACCAGACUCCUACGGGAGGCAGCAGUGAGGAAUAUUGGUCAAUGGGCGAGAGCCUGAACCAGCCAAGUCGCGUGAAGGAAGAAGGAUCUAUGGUUCGUAAACUUCUUUUGCAGGGGAAUAAAGUGGAGGACGUGUCCUCUUUUGUAUGUACCCUGAGAAUAAGGAUCGGCUAACUCCGUGCCAGCAGCGGC